CCUACGGGUGGCAGCAGUGGGGAAUAUUGCACAAUGGGGGAAACCCUGAUGCAGCGACGCCGCGUGAGUGAAGAAGUAAUUCGUGACGUAAAGCUCUAUCAGCAGGGAAGAAACACUGACCUUACGGUCAGCAGACGGUACCUGAGUAAGAAGCCCCGGCUAACGACGUGCAAGCAGCCGCGGGAAUACGUAGGGGGCAAGCGUUAUCCGGAUUUACUGGGUGGAAAGGGAGCGUAGACGGCGAUGCAAGUCUGAAGUGAAAGGCGGGGGCCCAACCCCCGGACUGCUUUGGAAACUGGAUGGCUGGAGUGCAGGAGAGGUAAGUGGAAUUCCUAGUGUAGCGGUGAAAUGCGUAGAUAUUAGGAGGAACACCAGUGGCGAAGGCGGCUUACUGGACUGUAACUGACACUGAUGCUCGAAAGUGUGGGUAUCAAACAGGAUUAGAUACCCUUGUAGUC
rnacentral:rRNA from 1 species